GCCGGGCCUGCCGCUCGACACG
rnacentral:miRNA from 1 species